GACGAACGCUGGCGGCGUGCUUAACACAUGCAAGUCGAACGCUGAAGCACCAGCUUGCUGGUGUGGAUGAGUGGCGAACGGGUGAGUAAUACGUGAGUAACCUGCCCUUGACUCUGGGAUAAGCCCGGGAAACUGGGUCUAAUACUGGAUGCUACAUGUCACCGCAUGGUGGUGUGUGGAAAGGGUUUACUGGUCUUGGAUGGGCUCACGGCCUAUCAGCUUGUUGGUGAGGUAAUGGCUCACCAAGGCGACGACGGGUAGCCGGCCUGAGAGGGUGACCGGCCACACUGGGACUGAGACACGGCCCAGACUCCUACGGGAGGCAGCAGUGGGUAAUAUUGCACAAUGGGCGAAAGCCUGAUGCAGCGACGCCGCGUGAGGGAUGACGGCCUUCGGGUUGUAAACCUCUUUCAGCAGGGAAGAAGCCACAAGUGACGGUACCUGCAGAAGAAGCGCCGGCUAACUACGUG
rnacentral:rRNA from 1 species